rnacentral:lncRNA from 1 species
CAAGGUUAUUGUCAAUUUGACCUAUACCUACACUCCUCGAUUAUCUGUGUAAAGACUGAAGUAUCUUCAGGAAGUAUUGCAGACUCAUAAGAAACACACUGAAAUUCCACUCUUGAGAAAGAGUUUAUAACAUUUCAAAACAUUCACCAAAAUGUUCUCUUGGAUUUGAAUACUAUUUAAACCAUUGAGGUACUGGAAAGUAAACAUUUACCAC